CCUACGGGGGGCUGCAGUGAGGAAUAUUGGUCAAUGGGCGGAAGCCUGAACCAGCCAAGUAGCGUGCAGGAUGACGGCCCUACGGGUUGUAAACUGCUUUUAUACGGGAAUAACGCGCCUUACGUGUAGGGCUUUGCAUGUACCGUAUGAAUAAGGAACGGCUAAUUCCGUGCCAGCAGCCGCGGUAAUACGGAAGGUCCGGGCGUUAUCCGGAUUUAUUGGGUUUAAGGGGAGCGGAGGCCGCAUGUCAAGCGUGCUGGGAAAUGUCCGGGCUCAACCCGGGCAUUGCAGCGCGAACUGGCUGUCUGGAGUCCGCGAGAGGCAGGCGGAAU
rnacentral:rRNA from 1 species